rnacentral:lncRNA from 1 species
UAUCCCGAGUUCCAGAAGUGGACUUGAGCACUUCAUGAAGCCCUUGAAAUUGAUGGCCCCGGUUUGCCUUCCCAGGACUCCGUGCCCGGGACNNNNNNNNNNNNNNNNNNACACGGACCAGCAGGCCACUCCUCCCAGCACCUCGUCUCCAUGUCAACGGGUAACCUUCCUGCUGGGGACGUCGGGCACCACGCCAAGCUGGUGAAGACCACCUUUGAGGCCGGAUGGACAUAUUGAUGCCCAUAAAAUCCCACUGCCAAGGUGGGCCACUGGUGUCCAAAUAGGGCCUGCCCCAGAGAAAGCUAAGAAUCUAAUGAGCUGAGAUCGCUUGGUCCGACACGCUCAAACCGCUAGUGCCUUAAAGGAGGGGUAGUUCUGAAACAUUCAGCACAUGCCAGGCACUGGGCCGGUCAGACCUUCUGUUUACAGACUGACUCUUUAAGGAUGCUGUGAAAAUCAUUCCUCCACAAUGAGAUGCCACUUCCCACCCAUUAGGAUAGAAAUUAUUUUUUAAAAAAGAAAAGAAAAAACAGAAUAAGUAUUGGUGAGGAAUAGUAAAGUUAGAACACGUGUGCACUGUUGGUAGGAAAGUAAAAAUGAAACAACCACUACGGAAAACAUUAGGAUAGUUUUUAAAAAAUAAAACAUAGAAUGACUAUGUGCUGUGCUUAGUUGCUCAGUCGUGUCUGACUCUCUGCGACCCCAUGGACCGUAGCCCACCAGGCUCCUCUGUCCGUGGGAUUUCNNNNNNNNNNNNNNNNNNNNNNGUUGCCAUUUCCUUCUCCAGGGGAUCUUCCCGACCCAAGGAUCAAACCCGCGCCUCCUGCACUGGUAGGCAGAUUCUUUACCACUGAGCCACCAGGGAAGUCCCACGUGUCACACAGUGUGGCAAAAAUAUUUUUUUUUAAAGAGAAAAGAAAUUUCAAAAACAAGUGGUUAAAAUGGUAAAAUUUGUGUUCUGUAUAUUUUACUGUGGUACAAUUAAAAAAAAAAAAAAUCAACCUCUUUCCUGCCAAUCCUGAAGCCCAUGCUGACCCAUCCAUGCAUCCCGCAAAGUAACCUUCUGGGGCUCAAACCCCCACCCACAGCUUCGCCCUGUCCCUGGCCUGCUUCACGCGGGCCUGGGAACCCUCGGCUCCCAGCCUGGGGCUGCUGCGUCUUCUCCCCAGUGUGAACCUGUGCUUCCACCACUGACCUCGAGUGCCUUGGCCUUCCGCCUUUCUGUGGGCUGUGCUUGUGCUGGAGCUCCUGCAGCCCCUCUCCAAGAAAACAAACCAAGAAUAAACCUUAUACUCCCCCAAGAGGGAUAAGGGAACAAAAGAAACAUCAAAAAUCAACUUCCAUCUUCAUCUUUAGAAACACUCUACUAUCCAACCAGUCCAUCCUGAAGGAGAUCAGCCCUGGGAGUUCUUUGGAAG